UACGUAGGGACCGAGCGUUGUCCGGAAUCAUUGGGCGUAAAGAGCGUGUAGGCGGCUACUUAAGUCCUGCGUGAAAUCCUGCGGCUCAACCGCAGGCGGUCGUGGGAAACUGGGUGGCUAGAGUGCGGGAGAGGAGAGUGGAAUUCCUGGUGUAGCGGUGAAAUGCGUAGAUAUCAGGAGGAACACCGGCGGUGUAGACGGCUCGUCUGGACCGUAACUGACGCUGAGACACGAAAAGCGUGGGUAGCAAACAGG
rnacentral:rRNA from 1 species